UAUUUACAGUGCAAAGCUUGCAUUACAGAGAUAAUAUACGCUGCCAAGUCUUCCUCGGGCAAAAGAAGUGAAACGAAAGGCGAGAUUUAGUGUGGAAAUUUUGGAAGUCAGCCGGGCUGCAUUUGUGGUGGUCGCAUUAAUCACGAUAGAAAAAUAUCCCCCACUUCCGAAGUCUUUUCAUAGUAACAAACAGAGGCUGUAGGUGGGAAUCCCGUGUAAUCCUGCCCACUUAUCACGCGUGCAAAAUGCAAAUUCGAGCGGGCCCGGCACUACGCAGAAUUAACGAAAACGCAAAACGGACCGGAUAUGUCAAAGGAUCAAGUAUCGAGGUGGUCCGAUGGCGGUCGCGAUGCGAACGCCACACGGGGCGGCGACUGGCAUCUCAUUUUCUACAUGCAUCCGGCGCAUGAGUUUCCGAAGAUCACAGCGAGAUUUCAUCGAGAGUCGCACACAAAAAGAAAGUACGCACACGAAGAUGCACCCGGGUUUCAUAUUUAUCACUUCACAGCUGCACACCUAUGAUCGAUCCUUAUCCAAGAUGGCCGCCGGCGCGCCGCGCGAACAGGCGGGAUACAAGCGCAUGCGCACCUCCUCCGCCAUACCGCGGACCCGUCAAUCUUUUUCACUGCACGCAAUUGAUUAACGCAUUCUACUUAUUAAUUAUAUUAUCAACACGCUAAGUUCAAACAAGCGUGCUCACUCGUACACGAUUUUUGCUGUACUAAAAUUCAAAAAACUUAGGCGUACCUAUUCAAAACUUGAAAGCCAUAAAACAUAUCUCCCCCAUUAUUAGUUUAUGGCUUGCGAGUUGCGACUGUUACGGGCUAUUAUGUUGUUAUUUUUGUGUGUAUUCAGUGUUUGUUUUGAUUGUGUGCGGUGGACGGACGAGCCAAUUUGGGGAACCAUUACAAACGCUUCUAUUGAGUACGUAGAGCAUUCUUUAUGAACUACUUGUCAAGGUCGUUUCAUUUGUCUAGCCAUGCUUAAGUAUUUGUUAAAGAAGUUUUUGUUUUUUCGAGUAUUAACAACAAAGUUGUAUAUUCCUUUACAUCUUUUAUUUAUUAUUAAUUAUUAUAAGUAGUUAUAUAACUGUUAUUCUAUAUACAUUUUGUAGUAUAAAAAUUGUUUGUUUAUCUAUAAAUUAAUAAUUGUACUUCUAUGUAUGUAUAAAAACUAAUUUAGAUUCGAUGCGCAUCGAAAACAUAAACUAGAGCACUCUUCUUGACGUGUAUCAUGAGUCACGGAGGCGUUAGUCUGCAUUCUAUAGAAACUAAAGAUUUAUAACCUAAACUCAAGUAAAGUGCGAUGCAUAGCGAAGUGCGAAAAAUAAAGUCGAAGCUGCAAUUUACAAAAAACUAACAUAUGCGAAUAUUUUUAAAUCCUUUUAUUUCGCCAAUAUGUAGUCAUGGAAUAGGAUGAAAUGAAAUGUAAAAUUAUGCAAAUUUCGUAAGAAAAUAAAUAAUUUAAUUUCCUUGAAUUUUCCCACAGAGUUUAUAUUGAAUGCUAAUUCAGCUUUAGUAGAACAACUUAUUGGCAGACAUCAUUCAAUUACUCACGAUGAAACAGCAAACAUUCUUUAGAAUGAUUACAUCCUACACAAUAAAUGUAAAUACAAGCUACUAAAUUUACCUCCAACUAUGAUAAAUCAAGUCAAUUAACAAUAUUAAAACUUUAUCUGAAAAUAAUAUAGACUAUCAUUAUAUAUUUAUAGAUUUAAAUAAUAUAAAUUUAUAAGAUAGUCGUUUAUUAGAUUAGCUUCAACAUUGUAUUUUGUUAUUCGACGCGCAUCGAAGUUGUAAAGUAGAGCACCGUCCGCGGCGGGUUUUGAAUGACUCAUGACGUAUUCCCAGGCAGUUACCCGUACGUUUUGAUUUUACGCAUUGAAUAUUUUAAAAAUGCGGUAUUAAUUCUUUAAGCAGCUUUUAAUUUGUUUAAAAUAAUCUCUGAGAUUAAAUAAAAUAUCUACAAAAUGUCGUCAAUGCGACGGAAUGUUACAAUUGCUUUAAGUACUGAGUUUUAUAAAUUAAUUAAUUA